AUCGACAUGGAUGAGUUCAAAUAAGGAUUGUUGCUGGGAAAUGGGAGUCGUUACUGUUUAGAGAGAGGACAUAUGAAUUUUUGUUAAAAGCAACAUCAAUACUUGGAAUUUUAAUUGAUGUAAAGCUGGAUAGGUGGCCAAGAAGUUCAUGCUAGAGAUUGCAUCAAAAGUCCAACAGAUUGGUUGACAUUACAAUUUUGAUUGAAAGAAUGAAAGGAUAGGUGUUGCUGAAAAGAUGAAGCAUCAAGCUUAUAUAAUAAACAAGCAGUUUUUUUGCCAACAGCCAAUAUCUCUUUACUCCAAUGGUCCUAGUAGCUGUAGAAAAAUUCUA
rnacentral:misc_RNA from 1 species